AAAAACCUGACGACAGACAGACCACUGCAUCCCCAAAUCCUCCAAACUCCAAAUCCUCAGGACACGACUCCAAGAAAUUGUCGGUCCAGGGUCUCUGUGGUCGUCGUUAUCUUUGCCUUUAUAUCAGUUGUGGCUGUCGCUGCUUUCGCUCCAUGUUUCUCUGACCGUGUAAAUAAGCAACCAGAGGAUGAUGAGACGCAAAGAUAACAGUAACCUGGCAUUGUUAGGAACGCUGGUGUUAAUGGAGCUGAGAGCGUUAGAGCUUUAUCUUCCCUGGAUCUUCAGUCAGGUUGGGAAUUCAAACCAGCAGCCACAGAGAGACACUCGGGUCCAGCAGCACUGAGAUCAUCAUAAGGUCACCCUACAAAAGGAUCUUUAGUUGUGAUCAAGUGCUGGCUGAUGUGCAUCACCUGCUGAAAGGCAGUUUGGUUUGGAAGGUUGUCCAGGAUGAUCCCAGCGUCCACUGCAGAUCACAGCGUGUGAAUAUUCUGAAGAUUUCAAAAGCAUCAGCAGCUUUCAAGUGACAAACACUGGAUUUAUGGAGUUCAUAUAGAGACGUCUUUUGUUUUAUUGACUGUAUUGUGGAAACGGAGUCUUUGAUAGUUCAUUUGAUCAGAUCUGAUUGUUUUUCUUACUUCACAUGUUUUCUUUUGUUUUUUCUACCAUCUUUAAUGUCUCAGUGAAACUGAACUGUGAGUUGAGUACUUGAAGUACAGAAAGACCUCCUGCACUGUGUUAAUUAACUCCAGCACUUUGUCAAAUGUAUGUGCACUGAUACAGUCGUUCCUUCAUUUAACCACACUUGAAUUUAAAAGAUAUUCUGUAGUGACUGGGUUUAAGGUUAAAAGGAAUGGCUAAUUUAUUACAUUUAUUUUGAACCUACUACUUGAAAGGUUGGUGGUUCGAUCCCUGUCUGCUCCAGUCUGGAUGCCAAAUAUCUGUAAUAUAAUCUAUCAUUUUCUUAUACAGCCCACUGUCAGCCUUUUCCUUUACCCCCUCUCUCUUUGCUGUGUGCCUUGCCUAUCAGUGCUACACUCUGCUUUUUUCAUCUGCCUGGCUUUCCCACUUUUUCUUAUCUAACCUCUUUCUUUGAAUAUUUUCCCGUACUUCCUCAUACCACAGCAAACUUUCAGUGUCUUCUUUCCUCUGUCCAGAGUUUCGCUCAGCACUACGGCUCUACUUUUCCCAGUCACCUGAUAACUCCUCCCUACCACCCAGAGCCUUUCUCAGCUCUUAUCUGAACUCUAUGAAAUAUUCUUCUUUCCUCAGCUUCCACCAUAAACUCCUUGGAUCUCC